rnacentral:lncRNA from 1 species
UUUUUUUUAAAAAAAACAUUUAUUCCAUCAUUGCAUAUUUUAAAUAAAUUAAUCAUAUUUUUUAAUCAUUUAAAUUUUUAGGAUUAAUGAUUAGCACCAACGAAUCCGAUAAUAAAAGUGUAUUAUUUACAUUCUUUUAUGAAAAAAUUUUAAAUAUCAUUCAUAUGGUUUCACACUUUCUCACUUUAGUACCCUGUUGUUUAAAGUGUAUCAAUUUAGUGCCAUGUGAUUUCAUUUUUAUCUUUUUAUUAUUAAUUUCACUAAUUUUUUUGUUAAAUUAGUGACAAAGUUAAAAGUAAAAGUUAUUAAAGUAAAUAUUCAAUAAAUUUAAGUAAAAUAUAUGGAGAUUUUUAUAUAUAAUUUAACGAAAUAUUAACAAAAAAAUCAACGAAAAGAUAAAAAUGAAACUAUAUGAAACCAACUUGAUAUAUUUUAAACAACAAGCUACUAAAAUAAGAAAGUGUGAAACUAUAGAAGUGGUAUUUAAAAUUUACCUUUCUUUUUUAUAUUAGUCAUACAAUCAACUAGCAUAACGCGG